UACGAAGGGGGGCUAGCGUUGCUCGGAAUCACUGGGCGUAAAGGGCGCGUAGGCGGCUUUGUAAGUUAGAGGUGAAAGCCCGGGGCUCAACCCCGGAAUUGCCUUUAAGACUGCAUCGCUUGAACGUCGGAGAGGUGAGUGGAAUUCCGAGUGUAGAGGUGAAAUUCGUAGAUAUUCGGAAGAACACCAGUGGCGAAGACGGCUCACUGGCCCGGUACUGACGCUGAGGGUGCGAAAGCGUGGGGAGCAAACAGG
rnacentral:rRNA from 1 species